GAGAGAGACAUGCGCGCAUAUCAAUAAGCGGAGGAAAAGAAACUAACUAGGAUUCCCUCAGUAACGGCGAGUGAAGCGGGAAGAGCUCAGAUUUGAAAUCUUCAAGGUUCUACCUUGACGAAUUGUAGUUUAAAGAAGUGUUUUCUGUUGGAGUUUUGGUAAAAGUUCUUUGGAAUAGGACAUCAUAGAGGGUGAGAAUCCCGUAUUUGACCAUUAUUUCCAGCUUUGUGAUACACUUUCAAAGAGUCGGAUUGUUUGGGAAUGCAGUCCAAAAUGGGUGGUAAAUUUCAUCUAAAGCUAAAUACUGGCGAGAGACCGAUAGCGAACAAGUACCGUGAGGGAAAGAUGAAAAGAACUUUGAAAAGAGAGUUAAACAGUACGUGAAAUUGUCAAAAGGGAAGCGUUUGACACCAGUGUUGUUUUUCUGAAAAUCAAUUAAAGAACUGUUUAUGCUAAGCUGUUUAGACUUUAUCAGCUAUCUGUUUAGUUUUGAGCUUUUCUUUAAUGCACUUUUCAGUUAACAAGUCGACAUCAAUUUCUUUUGCUGUAAAAAAGCUUGAGGAAGGUGGCUUGAGAUUCGUCUUAAGUGUUUAUAGCCUCUUGCCUAUGCAGUCGGAGAGAUUGAGGUCUGCAGCGUAGAUCCUUCGGGGUUAGAUACAUUUGUGCUAAGUUAUAGCCUUUCAUAGACAACUUGUUGACUAUGAUCAGUCAUGUAGCUUACUCGCUUAUGCUAUUUUACCUACGCUUAGGAUGUUGAUGUGAUACUGCGAGCA
rnacentral:rRNA from 1 species